AUUGAACGCUGGCGGCAUGCCUUACACAUGCAAGUCGAACGGUAACGGGCCUUCGGGUGCCGACGAGUGGCGAACGGGUGAGUAAUGUAUCGGAACGUACCAUUGAGUGGGGGAUAACGUAGCGAAAGUUACGCUAAUACCGCAUAUUCUCUCCGGAGGAAAGCAGGGGACCGCAAGGCCUUGCGCUCUUUGAGCGGCCGAUAUCAGAUUAGCUAGUUGGUGGGGUAAAAGCUCACCUAGGCGACGAUCUGUAGCGGGUCUGAGAGGAUGAUCCGCCACACUGGAACUGAGACACGGUCCAGACUCAUACGGGAGGCAGAAGUGGGGAAUUUUGGACAAUGGGGGCAACCCUGUUCCAGCCAUGCCGCGUGAGUGAAAAAGGCCUUCGGGUUGUAAAGCUCUUUCAGCCGGGAAGAAAUCGCAUGGGCUAAUACCCCGUGCGGAUGACGGUACCGGAAUAAGAAGCACCGGCUAACUACGUGCCAGCCGCCGCCGUAAAAC
rnacentral:rRNA from 1 species